UCGUGCCAAAUAAUCCGCUUUA
rnacentral:siRNA from 1 species